rnacentral:lncRNA from 1 species
GCCCCGGCCUCCUCCUGGCGCUCGGGCUGCUGGUGCUGCUGCUGUCGCUCAUCAGCCUGCUGCUGCUCGGCCACCUGCUCUUCUUCCACCUCUACCUGAUGGCCAAAAAGCUGAGCACGUUUGAUUACAUGACACAGGGCCGCCAUCAGCAGAACUUGAAACACCAGACAGGGAAGAGGAAUGUGAGUUUACAAAUAGAAGACCUUUCACAGCCUCUGGACAGCCCCCGGGGAGCCUCCGUGCAGGGGUGAGUUGCCAUUUCUCUACAGCUGUUUUGUGCAUCUGAAGUAGCUAUAUUCUCCUCAACUGCCUUGCUUUAAAAAAUCGUUCUUUUCACAGAAUAUCCUCCAUA